GGGAGGAGGUGGAAUUGCAUUUCUGCCGCUAAAGCGUUCGCGGAGACUUCAAGGUAUAAUCUAUCCCAGAUCCUUUCCCAGAGAGAAACUUGGCGAUCACGUUUCCACAUGAUGCUCACGUUUGGUGCUCUCCAAUUAUCCCUCCCCACAAAGAUAGGUGGCGUGUGUUGCAGGGUCUCUCCUCUCGCUCGUACAGAAAAGAAAAAGAAAAAAAUGUCAUUAGAAGAGGCGUAACACGUCAGUCCGUCCCCAGGAGCUGCAUCUCCCUUCACCUUUUCUCCUCCACUUCGCGGCUUCUUCAUGCUUUUUCUUCUCACCAUUUCUGGCCAAAACUACAAACAAGACUUCGCAGAGCCUGCGUGCUGCUGCUGCCGCUGCCGCUGCCGCUGCUGCUGAAUCAGGGAGUCGAGCCCAUGCGAACUGCCAUCUGAUCCACUCUUAUCAAUGAAGCAGCAGAUCAUGGCGGAUGGCCCCAGGUGUAAGAGGCGAAAACAAGCCAACCCCCGGAGGAAAAACGGUAAGACGGCCCCCCGGGAAAACUUUUCCGGCCGGUUCCGCCGCGGCCGCGGGGGGAAAGGCGGCGGCAGGACGGGGGAGCGGGACGGGGAGGGGGG
rnacentral:lncRNA from 1 species